rnacentral:rRNA from 1 species
AUUCCAGCUCCAAGAGCGUAUAUUAAAGUUGCUGCGGUUAAAAAGCUCGUAGUUGGAUUUCAGUCUAGGAAGGUUAACUCGCCGAAAGGUUGUACGUUGAUUUUCCUCAGACUUCGUCAGAAGCUCGUGCUGCACUUAACUGUGUGGUACGAUGUUCUGACCUUUUACCUUGAGGAAAGUAGAGUGUUUCAGGCAGGCUACCCAGCUUGAAUACAUUAGCAUGGAAUAAUGAAAUGAAUCUCGGUUCGAUUUCGUUGGUUCUAGAGCUGAGGUGAUGAUCAAUAGGAACAGGCGAAGGUAUUCGUACUUGAGAGUGAGGAGUGAAAUCCGAUGAUCUCUUAAAGACGAUCCGAGGCGAAAGCAUUGUCAAGGAUGUUUUCAUUG